ACACGACUUCCUGCUAUAUCAAUGUCAUCAAUAAUGAGUGUUGAGUUACAUUUCAAACAAGAAGCUGAAUCAUAUUUCAAUUGCAAGGAAAGAACACCACACGCUACCUACAGCGUGCGAAGUUGAGCACGCUUCAUCGUAGAAGCUACUUUAAUAUCUUCCACACCGACCGACCGAUCAAACGAACGAUCUGGCCGUUAAAUUAAAGUGUAUCCUGUCCGAUAUUCAAACGGAUUUUUUUAUAACGUGAUCUUUUGGUUUCCGAAACAUCGCCAACUGUUUGUAAAUAAUGCUACUGUAUCUUGACUUGUGAUAGCACAGGAUUAAAACCCGUGUUCUUAUGGACUAUAAAAUUCCUUGCAUUGACAUUGCUCUCUGGACAUUGCUGAAACUCAACGAGCAAGACUUAUUUCGAAGUAUAGCUAUCUGUUUUCACCAGUGAACUCUAUUGGUUAUCUUAUGAACGCCAUUCGUUUACGCCAAGACU